rnacentral:lncRNA from 1 species
UUUUAGCCAAAUAUGAAUUAUUACCUGUUUUCUGUCUGCGUCAGCAACAACAAAAAUAGGAAGGAAAAUACUCUCAACUGCUUUCUUCAAUUUAUUCCUGAUCCAAAGAUGUGGUGAAGUAGGGGUCCUUACUCCAUGUUUCUUUCAGAGACAGACCAAAUAGCUGCAAUCUCAAUUCUACUAUAUGUAUGACUUCUUCCAAUCUUUUCAGAAUUUCUGUCAACUCUAUUUAGCAUAGAUUAUUAUAUGAAAAGUUCUACUAUGUUUAAUGAUUGGGGUAAGUGUCAAACUAAGACUUAUUACUGCAAUAAAAUGAUCAAUUAUGAGAUUAUUUGUAUGCCUAUACAUAACUUAUAUAUUUAGACAAUUUGAUUAUAUGUAACCUAAUAUCUGACGGUAGGUUGUGUUGUGAAGGCAGAAGAUUCACUUUCUUUAAAGCAGAUUCUACGAGAAAAUGCUGGCUAUUUCAUUGCUUCGAAUGGCUAAAAAUCUUGGGUUUCUUUUUCCCUCACACACACUAGAGAUUCCAUUACAACAUAGAGAGUGUGCUUGCAACUACUAUGUUUAAUGAUUGGGGUAAGAAAUAGAACACACAUUUUAAUGCACAUUAAACAUCUUUAAUAGAAUUCAUGAGCAGGUUUCAAACACAACCAGAAACACUCUUUUAAUGCAGAUUAAAAAGGGUUCAAACACAACCUUUUUCUCUUUUAAAGGUUAAAACACAGGUGGGACCGCAUGCGUUGUCCUUGUACUGGAAAUCUUUUUCACUUUCUUUUUUAAAAAACUAAAUAAAAAUGUUUUAAAGGUUAAACACAGGUGUGAUCGUUUGUAUCGUCUUUGUGCCAAAACAUUUUCUCCUUUUUCUAAAAAUAAUCAAAAUGUUUUAAAGAUUAAACACACGUGUGAUCGCUCGCAUCGUCCUUGUACUAAAACCUUUUUCUCCUUCUUUUAAAAAUAAAUAAAAUUGUUUUAAAGGUUAAGCACAUGUGUGCAUCAUCCUUGUGAUGCAUCAAGACAUGACCCUUACUUCGACUACUUGAAAAUUCUUCUUGUUUGGUUGUUAUAAACAAAAAUAAUGAUAAGGAAAUUAUAUAUUAGUGAUAGGGAAUUUAUUUAUCAGUGAUAUAUUUAUUUUGUAUUUGAUUUUUUUAGGUUAUUUAUCUUUCGAGAAAAUGGUCUUUCAGUCAACCGUGAUGAUGUUACAAUUAGGGCACUCAAGCUAUCAAGGUUUUCUAUGUGACUGAUAUAUGAAAAAAUGGUGUAAUGAAGCCUUAUUCUUGAACCUACAAUAUUUCCAUAAUUAAGAGAUAGAUGGAAUGUUCUGAAUUGUAAACAGUAGCUUAGUUUAGCCUGGAUAUAUUUUAAUUAGAGUUUUGCUUCAGGCAUGUUUCUUGGUUGAAUUGUAUAAUACUAUUUGUCUCUUUUACAUUCUUCUAAUCUCAAAAUCUUUUAAAUAC